rnacentral:rRNA from 1 species
UACGGAGGAUGCGAGCGUUAUCCGGAUUUAUUGGGUUUAAAGGGUGCGUAGGCGGAAUGAUAAGUCAGUGGUGAAAACCUGCAGCUUAACUGUAGACUUGCCGUUGAUACUGUCAGUCUUGAGUGUGGUCAAGGUAGGCGGAAUGUGUAAUGUAGCGGUGAAAUGCUUAGAUAUUACACAGAACACCGAUUGCGAAGGCAGCUUACUGGGCCAUUACUGACGCUGAUGCACGAAAGCGUGGGGAUCGAACAGGAUUAGAUACCCUGGUAGUCCACGCCGUAAACGAUGAUCACUCGCUGUUAGCGAUACACAGUUAGCGGCUAAGCAAAAGCAUUAAGUGAUCCACCUGGGGAGUACGGCCGCAAGGCUGAA